AUCGGCUAAAUAUUCUGAUCGUUAUUAAUUAAUUAUUGAUAUUUGAUGAACUUCCUCGUUAGUGUAAAACCAUCAAACGGGUCACCCAUUGCCUGAAGGUGCAAUGUGAUGCACUUGUGACUUUUUAUUUUUAGGUAUUCUUGAUUUCUGCUUAGCGAGCUCGCGAGAAUACAUGCCUCUGACUCUUUGCGAUGAAGCUCAAUGUUUGCCAAGUGCAAAUAACGAUUCGUGCGAAUAACGUGUUUGCAUGUUUUUUUCCCGCAAAUCGAAUCGAUAUCACGCGAUUUUUGAUACUUGAGCUAAUUUUUAUUCAUUGAAAUUCGAAAAAACCGUACAGGGCACAGCAGAGUAAAUAUUUUAUUCGUACACCUACGGAUUUGUGCGAAAAGAGCAGAGACGGAGGAACUGCAGUAUUAGUUAUAUGUUUCGCGGUGAGACGUUGACUAAUUCAAUUCAUUGAGAUUCAAAAGCCGUUCGUUGUUUGUCGUGCAUGAUACGAAACGAUGAAGAUUCAAGGGACUAGUUGAACUUAUGCAGUUGAUUAAGCUAUAUACCGGAGUGUGUGUGUUUUUUUUUUUUUUCUUUUAUUCGUUUAUUUUUGUCUUCCUGCUCGGAUAACUUGUUAUUCAUGCGACAGUGACUCAAAUUGGAAUGCGCGAACUGCGAUGCAGAUGAAAUAUAGGUAUAAUUCGCGGAAACAUACAGUCCUAUACUGCAUAGUAGGUGGUAUUUCGCUAGAACUAAAAAGAUUUUCCCUCGAUUCUUAUACGAGACAACUAUAUUUUCAUCCUCGAUUUUUCAUACCCGCCCAUCGUCUCGAUCCUUGAGAACAACUUCUACCCGUUUUCGAUGAGCAAUACGAAACAGGUGAGAUGCUGCAAUUCUGCGAUACGUGUGAAAUUCUAUCGAUACUCCCAAGGAAUUCCAUAACUCGAGUUUCCUCAUUAUCUUGCUAAGAAUCUUUGGAGGGAAUUCUUCAGUCGAGAGUACAAGACGUGUACACCGUUUGUCAUUUCAGCCAGAGGUGAAAACCAUCCACAUAUACGACACAGGCUGCAAUUACGUGAGAUACGGUUGAAACUCUUGGCGAUAUUCGGCUCUGCAAACGAAACCGGAAAUCGAAUGUGUGCAGUAAUCUGCUGCACUUACGCACGAGUUAUACCGAAGUUUUAUUUGCAUUCGGUUUAAUCGUUGAGGGCUUGCCAGGUUCGGAGGAUGGGGUCCGAUGUCAUUGACCUCGAGGUCAUCGAAGAUCGAAAACCCGAAAUGUUGCGAUUCCAGAGUAGGGAUAGGUGGAUCCACUCCGCAAUGAAAUGUGCAAGAAAACGAGAUAAGAGCUGAGAGGAUAAUUGAAAUCUGAAGAUCAGAUCAUGGUUUGUGGUAAAUGACGACAUACGUAACUGUCGAGAAAAGGAGAAGGAAAUAUAAAAAUCAGAUUGUUUAUUUGUUGUCAAACAGCUGUAUAGAGUAACAUGAAAUUAUGUCUGCUCCUGAUAAAUUUUAUAUAUAUAUAUAUACUUUGCCGAAACUGUAACUGCAUCAUUUUUUUUUUUUUUUCAAUUUUUUUUUGCCUAUAAUAUAUCAAUUUUCAUUUUCUAAUAUAUUUGUGUGUGUAUGUAUAUAUAUAUAUAGGUAAUGUAUAUUUCAUGUAAAACGACCGCUGACGAAACAUACUGAUGUGCUUGUAUACAUAGGUAUAAUCUACCCAACGAAAAAAUAUAAUAAUAGUGUAUAAUAUAGAGCUAUGCAAUAAUCAACAGAUUAGUAGAAUAUAAGAGUAUUUUAUGUAGAAACAACAGAAUAAUUGAGCGUCUACGUUGACCGUUUUUUUUGGAUUUCUUUGCUUUUUAUUUUUUUGUAAAUCCUCCGUCAAAUGUUGGCAUGGUUGGUUACCGCUUUUCAAGCAACUUUUAAUAUUAUUCCAUCAAUUACGAAUAUUAGCGAAUAGUUUCUUUGAUUAUGUGUAUUACAUGUCGACGUUGCAAAGGCAAUUCCACCGCAGAAUCUCAUGAGACAAAUCGGCAAAAUCGCGUUUCCACGAAUAAAACAAAUUCGUUAUUCUUAUUUCACGUUAUUUGUAACAUGUACUCGUUCGUCCGACGUGUAUAUAUUACAAAUAUUAUACGAAUAAAAGUGUUUGUGUUACAUAAAUAGUUUAUUACGCGUAUCCUAUGCCUCUCAUACAAUAUCUAGGUAUAAAGUAUAUUGCAGUUUCGAACGAAGAGAACCGCCAUAUUUCACUACUUGCAACGAUUUAGAGAGGUAUAUGUCUAGUUGCACGGACACAUCCGCUAUUAUAAUCAGUAGUUUCUGUUGCCGUACAUGAAAUCAAGAGGAAAACAUAUUUUGCAAUCCUAUUACGCGACACAUUUACAAAUGAUAUUACAUGCUGAUAUCCUCUUAUUCAUUUAGAUAAUUGUAUUCGAUUGACGUUAAUACCUAUCAAAUAUUCCGUUAUGAUUAUUGCUAUUUACAAUUAGAUUAUAUAUAUAUUCACCUAACAACGUAUUCUUCACCAUAUUUUACAGAAACCAUUAAACUUUGAUACAAUUUAUAACUUAUACAAUUUCUUUCCUUAUUUUUAUUUUUAAUUUUUUUUGUUUUUU